rnacentral:lncRNA from 10 species
CUUCAUCUCUUACUAAGUGCCCAGCACAAAGAUAACAAUAAAAUCACAAAUAAGAGGUCCCUGCCCCUCUCCCCUUAUGGCUCUGACCUCCAAAUGCCAAGACCGGGCUGUUUGCAAAUCUAAAGGCUCCUAGGCAGCAGUGGGAGGAAUUUGAGCAGAAACAUGGAACAGCAUGUCCAAGGACAUAAAUUCCAAGUUAUUUUUGUUGGGAAAUCUGAAGAAAAUAAUUCCAUCCACAUUCCCCACGUCGGAACUGUUCUCCCAGGUUGGCUUCAGCA